UACAGAGGUCUCAAGCGUUGUUCGGAUUUAUUGGGCGUAAAGAGCUCGUAGGUGGCUUGUCGCGUCGUCCGUGAAAACCCGGGGCUCAACCCUGGGCCUGCAUUCGAUACGGGCAGACUAGAGUUCGGUAGGGGAGACUGGAAUCCUGGUGUAGCGGUGAAAUGCGCAGAGUAAUCAGGAGGACACCGUGGCGAAGGCGGGUCUCUGGGCCGAAACUGACGCUGACGGAGCGAAAGCGUGGGGAGCAAACAGG
rnacentral:rRNA from 1 species